UACAGAGGGGGCUAGCGUUAUUCGGAAUUAUUGGGCGUAAAGGGUGCGUAGGCGGCGCGGUAAGUCGGGUGUGAAAUCUCGGAGCUUAACUCCGAAACUGCAUUCGAUACUGCCGUGCUUGAGGACUGGAGAGGAGACUGGAAUUUACGGUGUAGCGGUGAAAUGCGUAGAUAUCGUAAGGAAGACCAGUGGCGAAGGCGGGUCUCUGGACAGUUCCUGACGCUGAGGCACGAAGGUCAGGGGAGCAAACGGG
rnacentral:rRNA from 1 species